AGUGAACGCUGGCGGCGUGCCUAACACAUGCAAGUCGAGCGGGUUUCUGUCUGUAGCAAUACAGAUAGAAAUCAGCGGCAGACGGGUGAGUAACACGUAGAGAACUUACCUCUUAGAGGGGGAUAGCCCGCCGAAAGGCGGGGUAAUACCGCGUAAGAUUCCUUGGUGGCAUCAUCGAGGAAUGGAACAUCCGCAAGGAUGGCUAGGAGAAAGCUCUGCGGCCUAUCAGCUAGUUGGUGAGGUAAUGGCUCACCAAGGCUACGACGGGUAUCCGACCUGAAAGGGUGAUCGGACACACUGACACUGAGACACGGGUCAGACUCCUACGGGAGGCAGCAGUGAGGAAUUUUGGACAAUGGGGGAAACCCUGAUCCAGCGACGCCGCGUGAAGGAUGAAGGUCUUCGGAUUGUAACUCUUUAUCUGGACUAAGAACCUGUGGAACACGGGGAGUGAAUGUACCAGAUGAAUAAGCCACGGCUAACUUCGUGCCAGCAGCCGCGGUAAUACGAAGGUGGCAAGCGUACUCGGAAUUACUAGGCGUAAAGGGCAGGUAGGUGGUCCGAUAAGUCUGUUGUGAAAGCUCCCGGCUUAACUGGGAGAGGUCAACAGAAACUAUCGGGCUUGAGUAUAGGAGAGGGUACUGGAAUUCCCGGUGUAGCGGUGAAAUGCGCAGAGAUCGGGAGGAACACCAAUGGCGAAAGCAGGAUACCUGGANUAUUACUGACACUCAGCUGCGAAAGCUAGGGGGAGCAAAACNGGAUUAGAUACCCUGGUAGU
rnacentral:rRNA from 1 species